rnacentral:rRNA from 1 species
AUUGAACGCUGGCGGCAGGCCUAACACAUGCAAGUCGAGCGGAUGAAGGGAGCUUGCUCCUGGAUUCGGCGGCGGACGGGUGAGUAAUGCCUAGGAAUCUGCCUGGUAGUGGGGGAUAACGUCCGGAAACGGGCGCUAAUACCGCAUACGUCCUGAGGGAGAAAGUGGGGGAUCUUCGGACCUCACGCUAUCAGAUGAGCCUAGGUCGGAUUAGCUAGUUGGUGGGGUAAAGGCCUACCAAGGCGACGAUCCGUAACUGGUCUGAGAGGAUGAUCAGUCACACUGGAACUGAGACACGGUCCAGACUCCUACGGGAGGCAGCAGUGGGGAAUAUUGGACAAUGGGCGAAAGCCUGAUCCAGCCAUGCCGCGUGUGUGAAGAAGGUCUUCGGAUUGUAAAGCACCUUAAGUUGGGAGGAAGGGCAGUAAGUUAAUACCUUGCUGUUUUGACGUUACCAACAGAAUAAGCACCGGCUAACUUCGUG